AGUAACGCGUGAGAAUCUGCCCUUAGGAGGAGGAUAACAGCUGGAAACGGUUGCUAAUACUCCAUAUGCCGAGAGGUGAAAGGAUUUAUCUACCUAAGGAGGAGCUCGCGUCUGAUUAGCUAGUUGGUAGGGUAAUGGCCUACCAAGGCGACGAUCAGUAGCUGGUUUGAGAGGAUGAUCAGCCACACUGGGACUGAGACACGGCCCAGACUCCUACGGGAGGCAGCAGUAGGGAAUUUUCCGCAAUGGGCGAAAGCCUGACGGAGCAAUACCGCGUGAGGGAUGACGGCCUGUGGGUUGUAAACCUCUUUUCUCAAGGAAGAAGUUCUGACGGUACUUGAGGAAUAAGCAUCGGCUAACUCUGUGCCAGCAGCCGCGGUAAUACAGAGGAUGCAAGCGUUAUCCGGAAUCACUGGGCAUAAAGCGUCUGUAGGUGGUUUGGUAAGUCUGCUGUUAAAGACUGGGGCUCAACCCCAGAAAAGCAGUGGAAACUGCUAGACUUGAGUGUGGUAGAGGUAGAGGGAAUUCCUAGUGUAGCGGUGAAAUGCGUAGAUAUUAGGAAGAACACCAAUGGCGAAGGCACUCUACUGGACCAUAACUGACACUGAGAGACGAC
rnacentral:rRNA from 1 species